rnacentral:lncRNA from 1 species
UGGCGUAAUCUCAGCUCACUGCAACCUCUGCCUCCUGGGAUCAAGCGAUUCUCCUCCCUCAGCCUCCCGAGUAGCUGGGAUUACAGGUUCAAGAGAUUCUUCUGCCUCAGCCUCCCAAGUAGCUGGCACUGCAGACACGCACCACCACACCCAGGCUACACAGAACAACAUCAUUAGCAACAUUGUUUCAGCAAGGAAAUAAUCCUUAUUGGCAAAGGGAAACCAAGGAAAGAAAACUAUUGUUUUCUUCGGCUACAUGCUGUCUGCAAAGCACCCCAUGGAUUCAAUUUCUCAUCAAUUCAGAAUGGAAUACUAACGUGCUGCCUAGAGAUACAGAAGUGGGAUGAACGCAGGGCCUUACUCAGCAUUCAGAACAAAACUGAUGGUGCUAGCAUAUAUAAGACUGAAACACCAAAGUCCUCCGUGGAAGUUAAUGAAUUUCUAAUAGUGAAAUAAGGUGGCCAAGGAGGCAGAGAUGGAGUCAGGGACUCUGUGAUCAACCCUGAGGAUUGGGAAGGAACUAUACAUACCAGGAGGCAAGGAGCACUGGGGGCCCUCCUGGGACUGCCUGUCACAGCGUCCUCAAAG